CGGAAAACUGGGGAUAAUACCCUAUAGACUAUGGAUGCUGGAAUGCUUCGUAGUUGAAAGGUCCGCCGCUGUAGGAUGGGUCUGCGGCCGAUUAGGUUGUUGUUGGGGUAACGGCCCAACAAGCCUGUAAUCGGUACGGGUUGUGGGAGCAAGAGCCCGGAGAUGGAUUCUGAGACACGAAUCCAGGCCCUACGGGGCGCAGGCGGCGGGGAAACCUUUCAAUGCGGGGAAACCGUGAUAGGGGAACUCUGAGUGCCCGUAAAAUCGGGCUGUCCAUCAGUUUAAAUAACUGGUGAAGAAAGGGCCGGGCAAGACCGGUGCCAGCCGCCGCGGUAACA
rnacentral:rRNA from 1 species